rnacentral:sRNA from 1 species
CAUAGGACUUCAUCCUAUGCUAAAUUAAAUCGUUCCUUCGGAACU